UUUGGGGCGGUGAAUCAGAAUUUUACAGGGCUAUAUAUAGAGCAUCACAGAUCAAAGGAAGAAAGUUCUUUUUUUGGGGGGAGCAGACUCACGACACACUACACAGACACUACAUGCAACAAAGAGAAGAGCUUUGGAGAUAGAAAUUGAAGAUUCGAGUCUUGGAGCAAGAAUUUUCCUUUCUUUUAGGUUAUUUCUUGUUCUUAAUUUCAUGAAUUCUAUCUCUAUUUUAGUGUUGUUUUUGAUUAUGGAUAGCUAAAUUAGUCUCUAGGGUCUUAGGUGAAUCUUGUAUGUUGAGAUACCUUGUCAUGUUCUAGUUUAUUAAUUAUAAUUUCUAUUUCUAUUCCAA
rnacentral:lncRNA from 1 species